UACGUAGGGGACAAGCGUUGUCCGGAUUUACUGGGCGUAAAGGGCACGCAGGCGGUUUUUUAAGUCAGAUGUGAAAGGUACCGGCUCAACCGGUGACAUGCAUUUGAAACUGAAAGACUUGAGUAUUGGAGAGGCAAGUGGAAUUCCUAGUGUAGCGGUGAAAUGCGUAGAUAUUAGGAGGAACACCGGUGGCGAAGGCGGCUUGCUGGACAAAUACUGACGUUGAGGGACGAAGGCUUGGGUAGCAAUA
rnacentral:rRNA from 1 species